rnacentral:rRNA from 1 species
GACAGAGGUCCCGAGCGUUAGGCGGAAUCACUGGGCUUAAAGCGUGUGUAGGCGGAUUUGUAAGUACCUUGUGAAAUCCCACGGCUUAACCGUGGAACUGCUGGGUAUACUGCGAAUCUUGGGCCAUCUAGGGGCUAGCGGAACAAACGGUGGAGCGGUGAAAUGCGUAGAUAUCGUUUGGAACGCCAAUGGUGAAAACAGCUAGCUGGGGAUGUGCCGACGCUGAGACACGAAAGCCAGGGGAGCGAACGGGG